rnacentral:rRNA from 1 species
AGCUUGCUCUGUGGGAUCAGUGGCGAACGGGUGAGUAACACGUGAGCAACCUGCCCCUGACUCUGGGAUAAGCGCUGGAAACGGCGUCUAAUACUGGAUAUGUGACGUGACCGCAUGGUCUGCGUCUGGAAAGAAUUUCGGUUGGGGAUGGGCUCGCGGCCUAUCAGCUUGUUGGUGAGGUAAUGGCUCACCAAGGCGUCGACGGGUAGCCGGCCUGAGAGGGUGACCGGCCACACUGGGACUGAGACACGGCCCAGACUCCUACGGGAGGCAGCAGUGGGGAAUAUUGCACAAUGGGCGCAAGCCUGAUGCAGCAACGCCGCGUGAGGGACGACGGCCUUCGGGUUGUAAACCUCUUUUAGCAGGGAAGAAGCGAAAGUGACGGUACCUGCAGAAAAAGCGCCGGCUAACUACGUGCCAGCAGCCGCGGUAAUACGUAGGGCGCAAGCGUUAUCCGGAAUUAUUGGGCGUAAAGAGCUCGUAGGCGGUUUGUCGCGUCUGCUGUGAAAUCCGGAGGCUCAACCUCCGGCCUGCAGUGGGUACGGGCAGACUAGAGUGCGGUAGGGGAGAUUGGAAUUCCUGGUGUAGCGGUGGAAUGCGCAGAUAUCAGGAGGAACACCGAUGGCGAAGGCAGAUCUCUGGGCCGUAACUGACGCUGAGGAGCGAAAGGGUGGGGAGCAAACAGGCUUAGAUACCCUGGUAGUCCACCCCGUAAACGUUGGGAACUAGUUGUGGGGUCCAUUCCACGGAUUCCGUGACGCAGCUAACGCAUUAAGUUCCCCGCCUGGGGAGUACGGCCGCAAGGCUAAAACUCAAAGGAAUUGACGGGGACCCGCACAAGCGGCGGAGCAUGCGGAUUAAUUCGAUGCAACGCGAAGAACCUUACCAAGGCUUGACAUAUACGAGAACGGGCCAGAAAUGGUCAACUCUUUGGACACUCGUAAACAGGUGGUGCAUGGUUGUCGUCAGCUCGUGUCGUGAGAUGUUGGGUUAAGUCCCGCAACGAGCGCAACCCUCGUUCUAUGUUGCCAGCACGUAAUGGUGGGAACUCAUGGGAUACUGCCGGGGUCAACUCGGAGGAAGGUGGGGAUGACGUCAAAUCAUCAUGCCCCUUAUGUCUUGGGCUUCACGCAUGCUACAAUGGCCGGUACAAAGGGCUGCAAUACCGCGAGGUGGAGCGAAUCCCAAAAAGCCGGUCCCAGUUCGGAUUGAGGUCUGCAACUCGACCUCAUGAAGUCGGAGUCGCUAGUAAUCGCAGAUCAGCAACGCUGCGGUGAAUACGUUCCCGGGUCUUGUACACACCGCCCGUCAAGUCAUGAAAGUCG